AUGUAUUUGUCUGUUAAUUUUUAACAUGCUGGGCUGCCUAACCCACUUAGACCGAUUUCGGCCCGUUUUGUGGAACCGCUUGGAAUCUCCCCUUUUUUACAUCUUGAGACAUAAUUUCAGCAGUUAACCCAUCCGGAUGACAUUAAAAAUUAUCGAUCUUUUUGGGACAUAUUGUGGACAUUUCUAAGAUUUCAGCAAUGAAGGGCGAGCCCAAGUGUUGUAGCCUUUUUCUGCUGAUAGCUGGACAGGAGCAAGUGUUCCACCGCGUCCACUUCUUCCUCGUCUCUAAAGCUACGGCAGAAAUCAGUGGUGAGAAGACUUCCGCUGCUGCAAAGCGCUGAGCUAAGCCCAGUUGCUUGGUGAUCGUCAUUUUUGAUUGGACCAGCCAACUGUUUGUGACUCCGUGGAGUCGUAUUUGUCUAACUGUUAUCACACAUUCAUUAAAUAUUGGAUUUUCGCAGUAAGAUUUAAAGGUUUCCUCUAAAUAUCAUCCAAUUGAAGCUGGAGUACCACAGGAAAGCGUUCUCGUCUCCACAGCAGUCUUACAACAACUUCGACAUUCUCUGAUGAUACUGCCAUCCUAAGUCACCACAAGGGCCCAACAAGAGCAACGGAACACUUAUCAUCUUAUCUCGUGGCCUUGGAAAAAUGACUAGCAGACUGGAGCAAAAGUACAAACACCUUUACCCUGAACAGACAAACUUUCGCACCAGUGUCUCUGAACAACAUCAAGAUUCCUCAGACAACCGAGGUAACAUACCUGGGUGUCCAUUUGGACUAAGGGCUCACAUUUGGCGUCAACACAUCCAAGCGAAGAGAAAUCUACUGAAAUUUUAAGCUUCUAAUAUACAUUGGCUUAUAAACGUUGGUAAUUUUGACAAUGCAGCUCCCAAACCAAUUUGGACAUACACUCACAUAGCUUUUUAGUAAUUAGUAA